GCGUCGGUAGUGCAACAAUUCAGCACGCGCUCCCGCAGAGAGUGAGGUCUGGGUUCGGAUCCCGGCUGACGUA